UCCCUGGUGGUUCAGUGGUUAGGACUCUGCGCUUCCAUUGUGGGGGGCAUGGGUUCAAUCCCUGGCUAGGGAA
rnacentral:tRNA from 1 species